AAAAUGUUCAAAUUUUACUGCAACCGCAGGAGGGCGAAUGUUCCAUAGAUUUUAAUGCAAAUACGCGGAGCAGCUCAUUCUUCUGCUAUUUAAGUUCUUUGCUAGGGCCUAGAAAAUGUAGCAAUAAAUUUCUAGGCCUUCAACAGAUAAUUUCUAGGCCAGGUUGACAUCCAGUGCUCUCAUAAAACAUGGUUAUCAGACAAAUUCGAAACUUUUUCUCAAGGAAAGAUCCACAACUAUUGAAGAAACGACUCGCCAUAAUAUAUGCUGCCUCAGUUUGGUCUAUUUUUGGAAUAGCGUUUGUGAAAUACAAGUCCAAUAAAGAUGCCUUCCAAAAACCGUUAAAGGUGGAUGAAAAUGAAAAGCCAAGCUGGAGAAGAAACAAAGAUGAACAAUAUGCAAGAAAUCAAGAGAUUGCCGAGCAUGUAGGAGAUAAUGUUUACACUCCCCUUGAAUUUCUAGCCUAAAUCUGAUCGGAUGAUAAGUAACGAUGAUGUACUGCACUGUUGCAUGUCAAGAUACUAUAAAACCUCGAAUAGAAGCCCUGGGCUUCAUUUUUUUUUUUUUUUUUUUUUUGCAAACUUUGGAUGGGCUUCUUUUCGAGAUGGGUUUCUUUUCAAGAUCCAUGAUCUGUAAGAAAUUUUUGCAAAAAUUUUUUUUUCAUGUGCCUGCCUCCUCUUUACUUGUAACUGUUGGAUUGUUAAGGAUUGGAGAAUAUUUUACACUCAGUGGCUGGAAUUCCUGUGGAAGAGUUAAACAACUAGUUUAUAGGCCACACAGUAAAUAUUGAGGCAUUUUUGAGGAAUAUAAUUAUUUAAUAGGAAAAUACACUUGUGUAUACAGUAUUACUUUGUUUUGUAAUAUAAAGAUGUGAAGUAUUUUAAGUGAAUACAGAAUACAAAAUACUGCACAGAAAUCUUUGUCUGUAUAAACUUGUUUUGUUGACUGACCUCAUAAAUUACACAUAAUCAACUUGAAAACUACAAUUCAAUAUUUGAUUUACUUUGUACUAUACAUUAGCUUUUAGUUGAAAACUAAUUUCCAUGACAUUAAAGAUACAAAAAUAAUACCAUUACUAUAUGUUUUACAUAGAGCUGUAAAUUGAAUGGCAGUGAAUCUAUGGAUUGUUUAUUUAUAUACUGCAAAUCUG